rnacentral:misc_RNA from 1 species
AAGUAAUGAUUUUGGAUCUAUUUUGGAUUCAAAAAAAUCUGACUUUGUGGUAUAAAUGAAAAACUGGAUUGGGUUUAAAGAUGGUGUUAUUCUUGUAAAAGAGAAAGGCAUCGACCCAAACUUUUUUUAUCAACUCUCUUAUUAUCUGACUGAAUUUAUCAAGUUAAACCAUUUCGGUUUAAAAAAAAAGUUUAAA